rnacentral:rRNA from 1 species
CCUACGGGUGGCAGCAGUGGGGAAUAUUGCGCAAUGGGCGAAAGCCUGACGCAGCGACGCCGCGUGAGGGAUGAAGGUCUUCGGAUCGUAAACCUCUGUCAGCAGGGAAGUACGGUCACUGUGCUAAUCAGCAGUGAAUUGACGGUAUCUGCAAAGGAAGCACCGGCUAACUCCGUGCCAGCAGCCGCGGUAAUACGGCGGGUGCGAGCGUUAAUUGGAAUUACUGGGCGUAAAGCGCUCGUAGGCGGUAUGUCAAGUCAAGGGUGAAAUCACCGCGCUCAACGUGGGAACUGCCUUUGAAACUGGCAAACUUGAGUGUGUGGGAGGAGAGUGGAAUUCCAGGUGUAGGAGUGAAAUCCGUAGAUAUCUGGAGGAACAUCAGUGGCGAAGGCGACUAUCUGGCACAUAACUGACGCUGAGGAGCGAAAGCGUGGGUAGCAAACAGGAUUAGAUACCCGUGUAGUC